UCCGGCUUAACGCCGGCAGUCCCCCCGGAGUCCCCGGCCGAACCGCUGGCAACUGGGAGCGAGGGUUGCGCUCGUUGCGGGACUUAACCCAACAUCUCACGACACGAGCUGACGACAGCCAUGCACCACCUGUGAUCCUGCCCCGAAGGGAAGCCGUGUUUCCACGGCGGUCAGGAACAUGUCAAGCCCAGGUAAGGUUCUUCGCGUUGCGUUGAAUUAAACCACAUGCUCCGCUGCUUGUGCGGGUCCCCGUCAAUUCCUUUGAGUUUUAGCCUUGCGGCCGUACUCCCCAGGCGGGGCACUUAAUGCGUUAGCUGCGGCACCGGCGGUAACCCGCCGACACUUAGUAUUCAUAGUUUAAGGCGUGGACUAC
rnacentral:misc_RNA from 1 species